CCUUGAGCAUGGACAGCCUGGAUCUGCUGGGUGAAGGGAGAAGUUAUGUCCAGGGUGGGACAGAGAGGAUGGCGAGAGAUUUCCUCACUACUCAGAACAGCGGGAAAUUCAAAACUUAGGGAUUAUUUCUGAAAUUUUCCAUUUAAAAUUGACCAAGUGUAACUGAAACCAGAGAAAGCAAGACUGACGAUAAGGGAGGGGCCUCCUGUACUCCAAGAGCACUGAAUCUGGAAAAACUCAACACAUCGAUGGAGUCAUAUAUUUAAUUUUUUCUUAAAAGCCACCUGUGGGGUAUUGUAGAAACGCUGCGCUGCCUAUCACAGCUUGUGAUGUGACACGUUCAUUCUGCAAGUUUAAACUUCGCCUAGACAGCAUCUCUUUGAGCAACAAUUUCUUGAAAUAAAAAAAUAUAUUCUUGGCCAGGCGUGGUGGCUCACGCCUGUAAUCCCAGCACUUUGGGAGACCAAGGUGGAUGGAUCACUUGAGAUCAGGAGUUCAAGACCAGCCUGAUCAACAUGGCGAAACCCCAUCUCUACUAAAAAUACAAAAAUUAGCCGACCGUGCUGGUGUGCACCUGUAAUCCCAGCUACUUGGGAGGUUGAGACAGGAGAAUCACUUGGACCUGGGAGGCAGAGGUUGCAGUGAGCCAAGAUGGUACCACUGCACUCCAUCCUGGGCAACAGAGCAAGACUCUGUCUCAAAUAUAUAUAUAUUUUCGCUAGUUGGCUUUAGACUCUUGACCCCAGCUUAUAGUUGUUUUUGUUAAAGACCUGUAUUAUUAUGGUCUCUCCAU
rnacentral:sRNA from 1 species